rnacentral:rRNA from 1 species
UACGGAGGGAGCUAGCGUUGUUCGGAAUUACUGGGCGUAAAGCGCACGUAGGCGGCUUUGUAAGUUAGAGGUGAAAGCCCGGGGCUCAACCCCGGAAUUGCCUUUAAGACUGCAUCGCUUGAAUCCGGGAGAGGUGAGUGGAAUUCCGAGUGUAGAGGUGAAAUUCGUAGAUAUUCGGAAGAACACCAGUGGCGAAGGCGGCUCACUGGACCAGUAUUGACGCUGAGGUGCGAAAGCGUGGGGAGCAAACAGG